UACGUAAGGACCGAGCGUUGUCCGGAAUCAUUGGGCGUAAAGGGUACGUAGGCGGUUAGAAAAGUUAGAAGUGAAAGGCUAUAGCUCAACUAUUGUGAGCUUUUAAAACUGUUAAACUUGAGAGAUGGAAGGGAAAGUGGAAUUCCUAGUGUAGCGGUGAAAUGCGCAGAUAUUAGGAGGAAUACCGGUGGCGAAGGCGACUUUCUGGACACAAACUGACACUGAGGUACGAAAGCGUGGGGAGCAAACAGG
rnacentral:rRNA from 1 species